UCUGGGCGUAAGCGUGCGCUAGGCGGUUAUGUAAGACAGAUGUGAAAUCCCCGGGCUCAACCUGGGAACUGCAUUUGUGACUGCAUGGCUAGAGUGCGGUAGAGGGGGAUGGAAUUCCGCGUGUAGCAGUGAAAUGCGUAGAUAUGCGGAGGAACACCGAUGGCGAAGGCAGUCCCCUGGACCUGUACUGACGCUCAUGCACGAAAGCGUGGGGAGCAAACAGGAUUAGAUACCCUGGUAGUCCACGCCCUAAACGAUGUCAACUGGUUGUUGGGAAUUAUUUUUCUCAGUAACGAAGCUAACGCGUGAAGUUGACCGCCUGGGGAGUACGGCCGCAAGGUUG
rnacentral:rRNA from 1 species